CCUGGGAGGGAGGGCGGGCCGAGAGCGCGGGGCCUGGCGGAACGUGGGGUUCGAAUCCGGUUUCCACCAGUUGCCACUGCGUGACCUUGGACUCUUCCCUUUGGGCUCUUCCUCUCGGAGCCUCGGUUUCCCUAUCUCCCUAGAGGGGCCUGGCAUAGUCACGGGAUCGGACGGGGAUCUGAGUGGGACAGCCCUGAGGAUGGGGGGGCAGAGGGGCGUGGCCCAUAGAGGCGCUCCAUAAAUGGCCGUUGUCAUUCGAGAGUUCAGGGCACCUUCAUCCCGCGAUUACUCACUGAGCAUCUCCUGUGCGCCAGGCACUGUUCUGGGCGUGGGGGACACAGCAGUGAUGGCAGCAAACAAAAAAUCCCUGCCCUAGCGGAACGGACCUUCUAAAGAAAGGAUGGACACUAGAUAAUAUUUUCCUCAUCUCGAAAAUGGAACUAGUGGUGAAGUUCUGAGGUUCUGUCUCCUUCCUGGAUUCCUGGCCCAACCAGCCCUGUCAUGGGGUGGAGAGCAGUGACUCGGCAGAAAUGGAAGCGGGAGACUUACAAACCAACUGAGGUGCAGCCCUAAAAAGCCAAAAAAAAAAAAAGAAGAAGAAGAAGACUUCAAGGGGG